rnacentral:rRNA from 1 species
GAUGAACGCUAGCUACAGGCUUAACACAUGCAAGUCGAGGGGUAACGAGAGGAAAGCUUGCUUUCCUUGUCGACGACCGGCGCACGGGUGAGUAACGCGUAUCCAACCUGCCCCCAACUAAGGAAUAACCUUGCGAAAGUAAGACUAAUACCUUAUAAUUUCCUCAGAUGUCAUCUGACGAGGAAUAAAGAUUUAUCGGUUGUGGAUGGGGAUGCGUCUGAUUAGCUUGUUGGCGGGGUAACGGCCCACCAAGGCAACGAUCAGUAGGGGUUCUGAGAGGAAGGUCCCCCACAUUGGAACUGAGACACGGUCCAAACUCCUACGGGAGGCAGCAGUGAGGAAUAUUGGUCAAUGGGCGGAAGCCUGAACCAGCCAAGUAGCGUGCAGGAUGACGGCCCUAUGGGUUGUAAACUGCCUUUAUACAGGAAUAAAGUUAGCCACGUGUGGUUAUUUGUAGGUACUGUAUGAAUAAGGACCGGCUAAUUCCGUGCCAGCAGCCGCGGUAA